UACGAGUGGGGCAAGUGUUAUUCAACAUAACUAGGUGUACGGGGUUCGUAGAUGGCUGGAUUAGUUUUCUGUGCAAAAGCUGCGUUAAGUAACGUUGACAGGAGCAGAUUAUACUAUGUGGCUUGAGUUAUACAGAGGUUUAUGGAAUUCUUAGAGUCGAAAUGAAAAAGCGUUAUUUUAAGAAGAACACCGGUAGGCGGAGGCGUUGAAUUAUUGUAUAACUGACGUUGAGGGACGAAGGCGUGGGGAGCAAAUAGG
rnacentral:rRNA from 1 species